UUGUUCCCAGAUUAAGGCUUGAA
rnacentral:siRNA from 1 species